GAUGAACGCUGGCGGCGUGCCUAAUACAUGCAAGUCGAGCGAACGGACGAGAAGCUUGCUUCUCUGAUGUUAGCGGCGGACGGGUGAGUAACACGUGGAUAACCUACCUAUAAGACUGGGAUAACUUCGGGAAACCGGAGCUAAUACCGGAUGAUAUUUUGAACCGCAUGGUUCAAAAGUGAAGGACGGUCUUGCUGUCACUUAUAGAUGGAUCCGCGCUGCAUUAGCUAGUUGGUAAGGUAACGGCUUACCAAGGCAACGAUGCAUAGCCGAACUGAGAGGGGGAUAGCCCACACGGGAACUGAGACGCGGACCAGACUCCUACGGGAGGCAGCAGUAGGGAACCUUCCGCAGUGGGCGAAAGCCUGACGGAGCAACGCCGCGUGAGUGAUGAAGGUCUUCGGAUCGUAAAACUCUGUUAUUAGGGAAGAACAGAUGUGUAAGGAACUGUGCACAUCUUGACGGUACCUAAUCAGAAAGCCACGGCUAACUACGUG
rnacentral:rRNA from 1 species